GACGAACGCUGGCGGCGUGCUUAACACAUGCAAGUCGAACGGAAAGGCCCUGCUUUUGUGGGGUGCUCGAGUGGCGAACGGGUGUGUAAAACGUGAGUAACAUGCCCUUGACUUUGGGAUAACUUCAGGAAACUGGGGCUCAUACCGGAUAGGAGAUCCUGCUGCAUGGUGGGGGUUGGAAAGUUUCGGCGGUUGGGGAUGGAAUCGCGGGUUAUCAGCUUGUUGGUGGGGUAGUGGCUUACCAAGGCUUUGACGGGUAGCCGGCCUGAGAGGGUGACCGGCCACAAUGGGACUGAGAGACGGCCCAGACUGCAACGUUAGGCAGUAGUGGGGAAUAUGGCACAAUGGCGGGAAGCGUGAGAUGGCAAUGCUGCGUGCGUAAUAACCGGCUUCGGGUGAUAAACAGAUGUCGCCGUUGACAAAGCGGGAGUGACGGUAAUGAGUAAAGAAGCACCGGCUAACUACGUG
rnacentral:rRNA from 1 species